UCUGCACACAAACCCAAAGAUCAUUGUAUGUGUAUAAUGCUCUUGCUAUGUGUGCGCAAAGAAACAGGGCCUUGUCGCCUUUCAUAAGCUCUUAUGUGCAAUUGAAAGUGAAUUCAAGGUUCAACAUUA